rnacentral:rRNA from 1 species
UGGGGAAUAUUGGGCAAUGGGCGCAAGCCUGACCCAGCAACGCCGCGUGAAGGAAGAAGGCCCUCGGGUUGUAAACUUCUUUUAUCAGGGACGAAGGAAGUGACGGUACCUGAUGAAUAAGCCACGGCUAACUACGUGCCAGCAGCCGCGGUAAUACGUAGGUGGCAAGCGUUAUCCGGAUUUACUGGGUGUAAAGGGCGUGUAGGCGGGUCUGCAAGUCAGAAGUGAAAUUCCAGGGCUCAACCGUGGAACUGCGUUUGAAACUGUAGAUCUUGAGUGAUGGAGAGGCAGGCGGAAUUCCGUGUGUAGCGGUGAAAUGCGUAGAUAUACGGAGGAACACCAGUGGCGAAGGCGGCCUGCUGGACAUUAACUGACGCUGAGGCGCGAAAGCGUGGGGAGCAAACAGG